GACGAACGCUGGCGGCGUGCUUAACACAUGCAAGUCGAACGGAAAGGCCCUGCUUUUGUGGGGGGCUCGAGUGGCGAACGGGAGAGUAACACGUGAGUAACCUGCCCUGGACUUUGGGAUAACUUCAGGAAACGGGGGCUAAUACCGGAUAGGAGCUCCUGCUGCAGGGUGGGGGUUGGAAAGUUUCGGCGGUUGGGGAUGGACUCGCGGCUUAUCAGCUUGUUGGUGGGGUAGUGGCUUACCAAGGCUUUGACGGGUAGCCGGCCUGAGAGGGUGACCGGCCACAUUGGGACUGCGAUACGGCCCAGACUCCUACGGGAGGCAGCAGUGGGGAAUAUUGCACAAUGGGCGGAAGCCUGAUGCAGCAACGCCGCGUGCGGGAUGACGGCCUUCGGGUUGUAAACCGCUUUCGCCUGUGACGAAGCGUGAGUGACGGUAAUGGGUAAAGAAGCACCGGCUAACUACGUG
rnacentral:rRNA from 1 species